AACGAACGCUGGCGGCAUGCUUAACACAUGCAAGUCGAACGAGACCUUCGGGUCUAGUGGCGCACGGGUGCGUAACGCGUGGGAAUCUGCCCUUUGCUACGGAAUAACUCAGAGAAAUUUGUGCUAAUACCGUAUAAUGUCGAAAGACCAAAGAUUUAUCGGCAAAGGAUGAGCCCGCGUAGGAUUAGCUAGUUGGUGAGGUAAAGGCUCACCAAGGCGACGAUCCUUAGCUGGUCUGAGAGGAUGAUCAGCCACACUGGGACUGUGACACGGCCCAGACUCCUACGGGAGGCAGCAGUGGGGAAUCUUGCGCAAUGGGCGAAAGCCUGACGCAGCCAUGCCGCGUGAAUGAUGAAGGUCUUAGGAUUGUAAAAUUCUUUUACCAGGGACGAUAAUGACGGUACCUGGAGAAAAAGCCCCGGCUAACUUCGUGCCAGCCGCCGCCGUAACAC
rnacentral:rRNA from 1 species